UCUGUGUGGAUGACGAUAAACACAAACAACUAAGUCGGAUUCCUUCUGAUUUCUUUGAUGUAUGUUGACCGCUGACACACGGG
rnacentral:snoRNA from 1 species